rnacentral:misc_RNA from 1 species
AAAGUCGUAACAAGGUAACCGUAGGUGAACCUGCGGUUGGAUCAUUAAAAAGUAUCCAAAAAACGUUCUCGGUCAGCAUCUCUUGCUGACGGAGGUAAACGUCCCACAUUUUUGUCAAUUGUAUUGUCUUUGGUGGGUGGACAGGGAUGACUUUUCUUAUCUCUCUGUUUGUCAGUUCGGAUGUUAAGCAUCCGAGCCGUGGACAACCCACCAAUCAACCUGUAUAAACUUUUUUUUAAUUUUUUUGUCUGACAUUUGUAUUUGUAUCAAUAUACAAACAACUUUUGGCAACGGAUCUCUUGGCUCUC